GACGAACGCUGGCGGCGUGCUUAACACAUGCAAGUCGAACGGAAAGGCCCUGCUUUUGUGGGGUGCUCGAGUGGCGAACGGGUGAGUAACACGUGAGUAACCUGCCCUUGACUUUGGGAUAACUUCAGGAAACUGGGGCUAAUACCGGAUAGGAGCUCCUGCUGCAUGGUGGGGGUUGGAAAGUUUCGGCGGUUGGGGAUGGACUCGCGGCUUAUCAGCUUGUUGGUGGGGUAGUGGCUUACCAAGGCUUUGACGGGUAGCCGGCCUGAGAGGGUGACCGGCCACAUGGGGACUGGGAUCCGGCCCAGACUCCUCCGGGAGGCAGCAGUGGGGAAUAUUGCACAAGGGGCGGAAGCCUGAUGCAGCAACGCCGCGUGCGGGAUGACGGCCUUCGGGUUGUAAACCGCUUUCGCCUGUGACGAAGCGUGAGUGACGGUAAUGGGUAAAGAAGCACCGGCUACCUACGU
rnacentral:rRNA from 1 species